rnacentral:rRNA from 1 species
UACAGAGGUCCCGAGCGUUGUUCGGAUUCAUUGGGCGUAAAGCGCACGUAGGCGGUCCAGCAAGCGGGGAGUGAAAGCCCUCGGCUUAACCGAGGAAGUGCUUUCCGAACUACUGGACUUGAGUACUGAAGAGGGUCGCGGAAUUCCCGGUGUAGAGGUGAAAUUCGUAGAUAUCGGGAGGAACACCAGUGGCGAAGGCGGCGACCUGGGCAGAUACUGACGCUGAGGUGCGAAAGCGUGGGGAGCAAACAGG